GGUGGAUGUGCCAGCUUCCCCUUCAUCUUCUGCCAUGAUUGCAGAAACAGUCUCUCCCCAUGGCCACCACUGUCCCAGAUCCUUCACGACUACUGCCUGGCCACCACUGAUGUUUGGUCAAGACCCGAGGACUCUUUAGUCAGCAUGUGGUGAAUCCUGCCAGGACUGGGUCCAUCUCUUCAGUACAGAGGGGACAAUCACUGGAGGGUUCACUUGGUCAUCUUGCUCCACCUCUCCACUCAGCAGUAAAAUAUUUUUAAAUUAAGAAAUCCAGCAAUUUCCUGGGCACAGUUGAAGCAGGAGCUCCAGGAGAUGAAGUAGAUGAUCCUGUAGCACUGGGCAGGGUCUAGAUGCCAAGAAGAAACCAAGUCCAGGAAGCACUGCUCCACAUGGUGGCCUUGACAGCCAUUGAGAAAAAUCCAAGCCUAGAAAAGAAAACAAAGAGAUUGGUCACUUGUGAACAGGAAGGAAGAACCUGGACGAGAUGAGACUAAGGAGGCAAGGAGCCUCCAGCACGAAAUUAGAAAAGGCACCAAAAUCCCAGUUAUCAGAAUGAAUGAAUUUCUACAGAAUAUUUAAAAUGUAAAAAUUGAAGCAGCAAUUCCAAGAUGAAUAAAUAUCAACCAUGUAAAUACAAA